rnacentral:lncRNA from 1 species
CAAUUCUAGACAAAGGAAGAUAAAUCUAUUGUUAUUAAGAUGACUUUAACAAAAACAUCAUUACAUCUUUAGAACAGGUAUGAGAUAUUAGGAUGAAUAGAAUGUUAUGAUCAAUGCACUAUAUUUUGUGUAUCAAAGAGGUAGUGAUAAGUCUUAGAAGAUUUAGAUAUCAAGUCAGUCUCAUAAGGUUUUGAUUGCAUUUUAAGCAAUCUUUACCUCAAAAGUAUUAUGCAUCCAUAAAGUAUAGAUUGGGUCCAUCCCAACAAUUUCACUUCGGGUUAACCUUAAAACACUUAUUGUUUUUUAUAGACAUCGGCCUCAAUUAUGGUUACCCUAAUUUUCAUUAAGAAUAAAUUAUUAUAUUUUUAAUCAAUGCAAGUCAAAAUUACAAUG